rnacentral:rRNA from 1 species
AGCGAACGCUGGCGGCAGGCCUAACACAUGCAAGUCGAACGAACUCUUCGGAGUUAGUGGCGGACGGGUGAGUAACACGUGGGAACGUGCCUUUUGGUUCGGAAUAACUCAGGGAAACUUGUGCUAAUACCGAAUGUGCCCUUCGGGGGAAAGAUUUAUCGCCAUUAGAGCGGCCCGCGUCUGAUUAGCUAGUUGGUGAGGUAACGGCUCACCAAGGCGACGAUCAGUAGCUGGUCUGAGAGGAUGACCAGCCACACUGGGACUGAGACACGGCCCAGACUCCUACGGGAAGGAGGAAUGGGGGAUCGUGCGGCAUGGGGGGAAGCCUGACGCAGCCAUGCCGCGUGAAUGAUGAAGGUCGUAGGAUUGUAAAAUUCUUUCACCGGGGACGAUAAUGACGGUACCCGGAGAAGAAGCCCCGGCUAACUUCGUG